UCCCUCUUAGCUCAGUGGUAGAGCGCGUCACUUGUAACUUGUCGCUGACAUGGAAUAAAUGACGAGGUCAGUCGUUCAAUCCGGCUAGCGGGAA